UAUAUCAGGUCGUUAGAAUUAGUUGUUGAGAUGUAUGUGACGCUUACUUAUUUAGUUAAUUUCUUUUUGUGUAUGACACUACUUUAAGUAGGUAACGUUAUGAUAUUGUUUGUAGGCCGUUCAACAUCUCAAAGGAGAAAAAACCAAGUUUAAAGGUUAUGAAGGUACUCAUAGUUUUUAGUGUGCGUUAAGACAUCAAUUUCUUUUGGAAAGAUUGACGACUGUGACAACUAAUUGCAAGGUUUUACAAUAAUCUAUUGAAGUAAUGAAGCAACGGUAACACUAUCAUUAUGUUCAACUCUACUAUUUCCUUUGUAGGAUUUAAAACUUGGAUUGCAAUGUACUUAUCCUACUUUACUAUAUCUAGAUUCUUGUAAACCUUUUACUAGAAAUGAUUAUUAAUCAAUCUUUUUGUACAAAAAUAUUAUAAA